GAGCACGCCAGCAUCGACUGCCAGGGAUCAAAGGUUUGUGGCCCCUUCGCUCGGAGGCUGGGAGGGAGACAGACGAUAUGCUGGUCCUGUCUUUCGUCGGCCAGACAAGGGUGCUGAUGCUAAGCGGGGAGGAGGUGGAGGAGACUGAGCUGCCUGGCUUUGUGGACAACCUGCAGACCUUCUACUGUCGG